UGGUUCUACUGACUGAAGUGAUCCUAUCUUGUGACUCAUGCAUGGCACGUCUAUAAGUCAAGCUGGAAUCCUCUAAAAUAAGUCACAUGGGAAAAAAUUCUGAUCUUAUUCUAGACGAAGAAUGAAAAGCCAGGAAGCUACAUAACCCAAGAGAGAAGUUAUACAUACUCAUGAAUCAAUGUGUACAAUGGAGAAUUAAUACUGAAAACAAAUGUAUUUUAUUCUACUUUUUAAAAAAUUGUUGAAAUGGAGCCCAGCCUUCCCACUACCACUUGUUGCAACUCCCACACUUCAUAUGUACACCACCUCUUUCCUUGACCCUUGAAAGACACCAUGUGGUUUUCACCUGAGAAUGAUAUAAAUAUGAACACUCUAGAUCAAUUGGCUGCAUCAGGAUAACCAGCCAACUUUCUCAGAAGAAACAAUCAAAGGAACCAGGAGGAGUUUUACAUUUAAGGCAGACAACUAUAAAAUCACUGAAAAGGUUGAAACAGAACCAUUCAAGAGAGGGCCAGACUCAACCACAGAGAAAUCCUCAUUUUAGUUUUCACAGAAACUUGCAUUGACUCAACUGUAGACGCAGAGUAGGUAGACGUGUAGAUGUAGUGAGGGUUGAUAUCUUUUUGGCCAAACUCAACAGAGGUGGUGCAAAGGAAUGGCGGGUAUGUGCAAACAAAUGCUUAUUCUGAUAGGCCUUGAAAUCUGUGCUGGAUCAGAAGGGAACAACAUGUGAGGGCUGACUGUGGAAGCCUCUGAUAACAUGCUGUGGAGGGGAGAUUUCUGUCACCAGGAACGGGAGAAGGUGUGGAAUUACAUUCCCUUAACCAAAAACAGAGGGAGGAACAGGAAACAUGGUUUUGCUGCAGUGAGAAGGAAGAAGGAAACCCAUUUACUUGCAGGUCUUAGGCUGUGAAAGAAGAAGAAGGAAAAAUAGCCACCAAUGAAAAAGGCUACAGAGGAGGUGGCUGGACCCAGUGGAUGGCAGGCUUCAUAGGGUGGUACAAAGAAGAGAAGACCAGGGAAGAGAAGCUCAUGAAGGAAACAAACAUGGCUGUCUGGUUUGGAAAAGCACAUUUGAUAGUUUAUGAAGUCACAGAGGAGAGUGACUCUUGCCUCGCCACCCACUUAUUCAUCUGGAAGGAGGCUUCCAGGUGCCUUUCUAGGAUUUUAGCACAUGGAAGAAAUGUCCCUACCCAUGCAUACAGAAACGCAUAAGAACAGGAAGUGACGUAUUGUUUAUCAGGAAAAACAGUAUUCAUGUAUUAUUUACAAAAAUUGAGGCUGAUCUCCAAGCUCUACUGUGGAAAGAGUUCAUCAAGUUCCUAGACUGAAGAAAGCUAAUUGUAAGAAAUACAUAUGUAGUAUGCACAAGUUUCAUUAUAAAUAAGAGUAAAAACGUGCAUUGUAUAUGUGAAAAAGUCAUUAAAAUGACAAAAAUCUAGGACACCUGUGCAUUUUGAAAUAUCUCAUUUUGUAUCAAAUACUUUGGCAGUUCUGGAUUGAUAACCAAGUUUAUAUUUCAGCAAACAGGGGACCUCAAGAGCAUAACUUAAUCUCAGAGUUGUUCACCUCCGUGCAGGUAACAAAUUAAAAAAUUAAAAUAUCAUAUCCCAAAAUGGAAAUAAAACAGAUAGAAUGCCGAGUAUAUAUUAAAUAAGGCAAGCUAUUUAUGAUGAGCUAACUCACUUGCAAGUUACCAGAGAGCAUGGAGUAAAUCCUUUAUUUCUCAUGUCCUCAUUGUGCCUAAGACUGCGUUUCUGUACACACAUUAAAAAAACAGGAAAUCAAUGGUUCCCAAUGGUGAUGUGUGAACUCUUCAGGAUCUGGAGGAACAUUAUUAAAUUGCUCCAUUAGCUUUCUCUUGUUUGGGUUGAAAAUAAAAAUUGUGAUGCCGGCAGAACCAAUGGAUGAAGAGGGCUGGCUAUAAAUCUAUGUCAAUGUGGGAAAAAUUGGCUGAAAAUCAUAUGUGUGAAACAACAGUCAGAUGCCAAUAACCAGGAACCACCUGCAGGACAAGCUAAGCCCAGAAAUGCUGCCUUCACCUGAACUUCUGCCUCAGUGCGAGACCUGACCUGAUUUCUUGCCUCUUUCUCAUACCAACAUUUCCAUCCAGUGGGGAGAAAUGUACCUUGCUGGGUGCAAAAAGUGCCAAUGCAAAAGAAAAUGCAAGACUGCGCAUACUUAACCCCUCCUGGAAGAACAAACUUUUUUCAAGGAAUCCCCACCCCUGUCUCCACCUACCUGCCCAAAAGUCCUUAAAAAUUUCCCUUUACUCUACUUCCAGGGAGAAGGUGCUUUGAGCAUGAGCUCCCGUUCUCCAUUACUUGAUCAAUGAAUGGAAUUUCUGCACUGUUUUGCCAAAUGUUGAAUAGAAGAGCAAUACUGGGCUUACAUCAAAGAAGCCCAAAUAAAAGACAGAUGCUGCACAGUGCACAUGCUUAAGCAGAACAGAGAAGUGAAGACUGAGUCUGAAAUGGGAAAGAUAUCCCCACACAAGUCCAGCACAGGCUGUUAGAACUCUAUAUCUCUUCCCUGACACCCAGCCAUCAACUAGAGGCUGUUCCCCUACUGCCACCCCCUGCAGCCUGCCUACUGGUUUUAUAAUCACAGUUCUGGAAGCUUUGAAGUCCAAGAUGAAGGUGGCAGCAGCUUGAGUGUCUCAAUCCAUAACAUGGAUAUUUAAUAAAUGUUCUUUGACUCGUCAAAAGCUGUUUCCCUCUCAGAUGUCACAAGUGCCACCACAGCUGACAGGACCCCCUUCAGGAGGGAAACAAUAUAUGCUCAAGUUCUCAAAGACUCCCAUGAGUAUAAGAAGAAGGUCCAACUAGUGUAUAAAGAGGGGGUCCCCAGUUUGAAAUGUCUUGUUACUGCUGACAAGACCUGCAUGACUGACCAUUUGCUCCCUAAGAGAUGAAAACUGACAUUGCUUUGAAGUUCAAAAUGACAUUGCCGAAACAAGAAGAAAUGGAAAAUAACUGCAGCACGUUUAUGACAUUCGUUUCUUUCUCCACAUGAAACAUACAAUGAGAACACUUUAUAGAUGAAUUGUGUCUUCGAUUGAAUAGAGAAUGGUGGACUAGCUUUGGUUUUAUGGAAUUGGAUAAUUUGUCAUAGUUUCUGUCCCUGGAAAAAUGAGAACCCAAAGGAAAACAAGUGGAAAGCCUUUAAAAAAUAGUGAUAUAAUACACAGCUGAUAUUUUUGGUUCAUAGAAUACUUUAAAGUACAUCAUUUACAAAGCAAAUUACUAAAUUAUAAGAAAUGCUGUCAUCAUCAAUAAACAUUCACAGAGCUUCAGGUUUUAACACAAAGCAUUCCUCAUAUUUCAGGUGAUAUUAUUUAUGAAAAAAUUACUUGGAGAUUGCUCCAAGGUUAUCACAUUCUUUUCAAACCAUCAAUUCCCUAUUAUUAUUUACUAUUAUUAGUUAUUAUUUAUAAAUACAUAUGAAUACACAAUGAAAGCAUGCUUUAUGUAUAGCAUAUAAAUAUAUUUGAACUUUACUUUCCCCACAUACUAUCUAUCCUGCAAUAUUACACCACCAGUAAAAGAGUAUCUAAAUAUUAAUUGCUCCUAUCACAAUAGUGGAAACUAGAAGAGAUAAGUUUUCCCAAAUCUGAGUAGAAAACCAUGGUUAGCGGAUAUCCAUUUGUCCAUUUACGGAAUUAUAGCAAUAAAAUCCAGCCAAUAAUUUUUAGUUUGCUUAUUAUGUAGUGGCAAAACAUAAUGUCUUUUUCUCACCCAUUACAAGGGUCACAGCUGACAUACCUAUAACAAAAACCAGAUGAACAAGAAAAAUGCAUAAUGUGUUCAUUUAAUAAAGUUUUAAGUGACGUGGGAGCCUUC
rnacentral:lncRNA from 1 species